AGCGAACGCUGGCGGCAGGCUUAACACAUGCAAGUCGAGCGGGCACCUUCGGGUGUCAGCGGCAGACGGGUGAGUAACACGUGGGAACGUACCCUUCGGUUCGGAAUAACGCUGGGAAACUAGCGCUAAUACCGGAUACGCCCUUAUGGGGAAAGGUUUACUGCCGAAGGAUCGGCCCGCGUCUGAUUAGCUAGUUGGUGGGGUAACGGCCUACCAAGGCGACGAUCAGUAGCUGGUCUGAGAGGAUGAUCAGCCACACUGGGACUGAGACACGGCCCAGACUCCUACGGGAGGCAGCAGUGGGGAAUACUGGACAAUGGGCGCAAGCCUGAUCCAGCCAUGCCGCGUGAGUGAUGAAGGCCUUAGGGUUGUAAAGCUCUUUUGUCCGGGACGAUAAUGACGGUACCGGAAGAAUAAGCCCCGGCUAACUUCGUG
rnacentral:rRNA from 1 species